rnacentral:rRNA from 1 species
UUGUGAACUGCAGGACACAUGAACACCGACACGUUGAACGCAUAUUGCGCAUCGGACGUUUAACCCGACCGAUGCACACAUCCUUGAGUGCCUACCAAGUUAUCUAUAUUCUCCUACCAAACUGACUGUCCCAUCCACAAGCGAUGGGCUGUCGCAGCAUGGCGUGCUCGGACCCGCAACCUGACGGGACCGUGGGCGCUGAAAGUGAGAGUGCUAAUAGAAGACAUUGGUGAGGUACAAUUGGUGAGCGAUGAACGGGCGCGCGACAAGACGCAACGGUUCGACCUCCAGUAUCAACCAGGGAUGAAACCCCCGCAGCCUAACAGAUAACACCAGGCGCUAGCAAAGGGGUCCCAGGUUGGCUCGGUCGUGUAACACUUGCGUCCCAACGCGUCCUUCAUUAGUGAGCACUUAGGCACGGGCUAUACACCGGCCGCCAUAACAACAGUAGCYUACAARUAURC